rnacentral:rRNA from 1 species
CUGCUAUCACUCUUGGGAUGGGACCCUGCGGUGCAUUAGCUAGUUGGUAGGGUAACGGGCCUACCAAGGCGAUGAUGCAUAGCCCGAGUUGAGAGACUGAUCGGGCCACAUUGGGGACUGAGACACGGGCCCAAAACUCCUACGGGGAGGGCAGCAGUAGGGAAUCUUCCACAAUGGACGCAAGUCUGAUGGAGCAACGCCGCGUGAGUGAAGAAGGGUUUCGGCUCGUAAAAGCUCUGUUGUUGGUGAAGAAGGACAGGGUAGUAACUGACCUUUGUUUGUACGGUAAUACUAAUUAGAAAGUCACGGCUAACUACGUGCCAGCAGCCGCGGUAAU